AUGUUUCUUAAGGUUUAGUCAAGUCAACUUUAAUGUAACUCAUCCAAAUACAAGCAGUGGUCACUGUGACCUGACACCAGCACUGAGAGGCAAAAUGAUCCAGAGAAAACGUGAGCCCCUGUCCCCCGCGGUGAUUACGAGCUUGCAAAUAAGGCGACGUGUGCAGAGACGGAGAUCCAUGAGAUAGGCAGCCGGCGUGCAAAAAGGAACGCAGCACGGAGAAGAGGGAUCCCCCAACUAGGAGUGUCGGCAGAGCAGCUGGUGUCCGCCAACGCUACUUCACGCAGGCCUGGGUCGGUAGUUGGCAAACUCCGACCCGGGAAUACGGUGAGUAUCCCAACCAAAUUGUAGGCGGCACCAAGGGAUACUAAAG